rnacentral:tmRNA from 1 species
CUUGGUUUCGACGGGGGUCGCGAAACUUUCUGGUGCAUGUCGAGGCGCAGUGACCUCGUAAAUAAUGCUGCAAAAUGAUAGUUGCAAACGAUGACAACUACGCACUAGCUGCUUAAUAACCAGCCUUAGUGCCCUCAAACCCGGUGUGCUAGUACGCUUGGAUUCUUGGGGUCGACUCAUACUAGAUCGCGAUGAAACAUGUCUGGGGUGGAUUCGUUAAAACUUUACAGAAUCGCGUUUCGCUUUCCCUGCCUGUCGGGUGGUGAAGCGUUAAAACUAAAGACUAGGCUAAACAUGUAGAGCCGAGAGCGGAGGGCUUGCGGACGCGGGUUCGAUCA